UGGCGCCUGCUCGGGAGUGUGACCCAGGGCGCUGCAGCUGCGCGUGUAUUUAUGUGGUGUGUGUGUGUGUGUGUGUGUGUGUGCGCGCGCGCGCGCGCGCGCGCAAGAGGGGAGGAGGGGGAGAAGAGGACAGAGAAAAAGCGGGGGAGGCGUGGAUCCCGCGUGCCUGUGUGUUUAUUUGCGACCGAAAGGCAGAGACUGGCUAUAUUUGGGGUUUGUUACUUCAAGCUUGCGUGUGUGUGUGUGUGCGUGUGUGCGUGUGUGUGUGUGUGUUUUAAGAGAGCAGGGCGAGAGAAGGAGUGGGAGGGAAGCAGCGAGGGGGACCUAUGGCUCUCCAUGCCUGUGCAUUUUGGGCGUCCGGGGGAGAGACUGUCUCUACAUGUGUGUUGUAUAAGAGAGUGAGUGAAGGAGGAGGGAGCGGCAGGGUGUCUGUGUAUUUGUAUGAUGUGUGACCUGUGCCUUAUGGGCCUGUUGUACAUGCAUGUGAUAUGGUAGAAAGAGACUGUGUCCCUGUUACAGAGACCAAAUCCCUGUGGUUUUGUGGUGUUGGGGGUGCAUGUGUACAUGUGCACACACAAGGAGGCUUGGCUGUGAUUUGGUACACUGUGGAUGUAGCCUAGUUUGUGGAAAGAGAUAAAAACCUUGUGUGUGCAGCAAAAGUGUUUUGUUUGUGUGACUUUGUGAUCACUUGUAUUCAUGUUGUGUUGAGAAAGAGAAACCAAGGUGUAAGGGGUGUAAUGAGUGUAUAUUCUGGAGAGACAAAGCCCUCCUGGAGGAGAUGGGGUUUGGGCUUUGAAGGAGGUAGAAGCCGUUCAUAAGGCAAGAAGGAAAGACGUGCGGAAUCUUGCCCACCAGCCGUGAGACUGGUGGCACACCUUGGAGACAUUGCAGGUUUGGUUCAAAACCACCACCAUGAAACAAAUACCGCAGUAAAGCAAGUCAAAUGAGUUUUUUGGUUUCCUAGUACAUUUAAAGUUAUGUUUACACUAUAGUGUAGUCUGCUAAGUGUGCAAAAGGCAUCAUACCUAAAAAAAGAACCCAAUGUACAUACCUUAGUUAAAAGAUACUCCAUUGCUGGAAAAUGCUAAACAUUAUGAGCUUUCGAUGAGUCAUAAUCUGUUGCUGGUGGAGGGUCUUACCUCUACGCUGAUGGUUGGUGACUGAUCAGGAUGGUGGGUGCUGAAGGCUGGGGUGGCUGUGGCAAUUUCUGUUUUUGUCUUUUGUUGGUGGCAGUUUCUUAAAAUAAGACAUCGGUGAAGAUUGCCUUAUUGAUGGGCUCUUCCUUUCAUGAACAGUUUCUCUGUAACAUGUAAUGCUGUUUGAUAGUAUUUUACCCACAGUAGAACUUCUUUCAAAAUUGCAAGUCAAUCCUCUCAAACCUGCCACUGCUUUAUCAACCAAGUAAUAUUUAUCUAAUAUUCUAAAUCCAUUGUUGUCUUUUCAACAAUCUUCACAGCAUCUUCCCCAGGAGUAGAUUCCAUCUCAAGAAACCGUGAUCUUUGCUCUUCCAUAAGAAGCAAGUCCUCAUCUGCUUGAGGUUCAUCAUGAGAUGGCAGCCAUCCAGUCCCCCUUUCAGGCUCCACUUCUAAUUCUAGUUCUCUUGCUGUUUCCACCCCAUCGGCAGCUGAUCCCUCUGCUGACAUCUUGAACCCCUCACGUCAUCCGUGAGGGUGGGCAUCAACUUCUUCCAAACUCCUGUGAAUGUUGAUAUUUUGAUCUCUUCCCAUGAAUCAUGAAUGGUCUCACUGGCAUCUGGAAUAGUGAAUCCUUCCCAGACAGUUUUCAACUUACUUUGCCCAGAUCCAAAUAAUUUGGAUAUUAUUAAAUAAUCUUCAAUAUUAAAUAAGUAUAUUAAACAGCAUCAAAUAAUCUUACAUACCAAGACCUUGAUCCAUGGGCUGCUGAAGGGAUGAUAUAUUAAUUAGCAGGCACGAAAACAAUUUUAAUCUCGUUGUACAUCUCCAUCGGAGCUCUCGGGUGACCAGGUGCGUUGUCAAUGAGCAUUAAUAUCUUGAAAUGAAGCUUUUUUUUUUUUUCCUGAGCAAUAGGAAUCAACAGUGGGCUUAAAAUAUCCAGCAAACCAUCGUGAACAGAUGUGCUGUCACCCAGUCUCUGUUGUUCCCUUUCUAGACUGCAGAGUAGAUUUAGCAUGACUCUUGAGGGACCUGGGAUUUUCAAAGUGGUACAUGAGCAGAGGCUUCAACCUCAAGCCACCAGCUGCAUUAGCCCCUGACAAGAGAGUCAGCCUGUCCUUUGAAGCUUGGAAACCCAGCAUUGACUUCUCCUCUCCAGCUAUGAGAAUCCUACAUGGCAUCUUCUUCUAAUAUAAGGCUGUUUUAUCUACAUGGAAGUCUGUUAUUCAGUGUAGCCACCUUUAUCAAUAUCUCAGCUAGAUCUAACUUGCGGCGGCUUCUACAUCACCACUUGCUGCUUCAUUUUGCACUUUUAUGCGAUGGAGAUGUCUUCUUUCCUUAAAUCUUGUGAACCAACCUCUGCCAGCUUUGGACUUCUCUCCUCCAGCCUCCUCCCCUCAUUCAGCCUUCAUAGAGCUGAAAAGAGUGAGGGCCUUGCUCUGGAUUAGGCUCUGGCUUCAGGGCUUGUUGUGGCUGGUGUGGUCUUCUAUCCAGGCCACUCAAACUUUCUUCUUCUCAGCAAUAAGACUGUUUCACUUUCUUCUCAUUUGUGCGUUCACUGGAGUAGCGCUUCCCAUUUCCUUCAAGAAUUUUUCCCUUGCAUUCACGACUUGGCUAACCAGUGCAGGAAGCCUCGCUCUCAGCCUAUCUCAGCUUUCAAUAUGCCUUCCUCACUGAGCUGAGUCAUUUCUAGCUUUUGAUGUAAAGUAAGAGACGUGUGACUCUUCCUUUCAUUUGAACACUUAGAGACCACUGUAGGGUUAUUAAAUGGCCUAAUUUCAAUACUGUUGUGCCUCAGUGAAUAGGGAGACCCAGGGAGAGGGAGAGAGACAGGGGGGUGGCUGAUAAGUGGAGCAGCCAUAACACACAUGACGCUUAUUGAUGAGGUUUGCUGUCAUAUAUGGGCACAGUCCAUGGUGCCCCCAAACCAUUACAAUAAACAUCAAAGACCAAUGAUCGCAGUUCACUAUAACAGAUAUAAUAAUGAAAAAUAAUGAAACAUAUAAUUUGGGGUGCUGGCUGGCUCAGUCAGAAGAGCAUGGGACUCUUGAUCUUGGGGUCGUGAUUUCGAGCCCCACAUGGAGUAGAGAUUACUGAAAUAAAUAAAACUUUAAAAAUAAUAAUGAAAAAGUCACUAAAAUGGGACACAGAGACACAAAGUGAACAAAUACUGUUGGAAAAUGGCACCCAUAGACUUACUCGACACAGGGUUGCCAGAAACCUUCAAUUUGUAAAAAAAUGCAAUCUCUACAAAGCACAAUAGGGGCGCCUGGGUGGCUCAGUUGGUUAAGUGUCCGACUUUGGCUUAGGUCAUGAAUGGUUCAUGAGUUCAAGCCCUACAUCAGGCUCUCUGCUAUCAGCACAGAGCCAAAAAUAAAUAAACAUUGGGGUGCCUGAGUGGCUCAGUCAGUUAAGCAUCUGACUUUGGCUCCGGUCAUGAUCUCAUGGUUCAUGAGUUCAAGCCCCUCUCUGCUGUCAGUGCAGAGCCCGCUUUGGCUCCUCUGUCUCCCUCUCUCUGCCACCUCACUCAUGCAGCUCUCUCUUUCUCUCUCUCAAAAAUAAAAAAUUUAAAAAUAAAUUUAAAAAACAAGCACAGGGGCACCUGUGUGGCUCAGUCAGUUAAGCGUUCGACUUCAGCUCAGGUCAUGAUCUCACAGUUCAUGGUUUCGAGCCCUGCGUUGGGCUCUGGGCUGACAGCUCAGAGCCUGGAGCCUGCUCCAGAUUCUGUGUCUCCCUCUCUUUCUGUUCCUCCCCCACUCAUGCUCUCUCUCUCUCUCUCUCUCUCUCUC